rnacentral:lncRNA from 1 species
GAGUAAGAAAAAGGUUAAAAAGGAAAUUUAACCGGAAAUAUUAAGUUUUCCCUAAUGGGUUAAUUCCUAUAUAAAGGUUAACCUGCAGGAAAAUUGUAACCAGAGUGUUUUUCAAGUGCACGAAAUUCGCCGUUGAAAAUCGUUGACUACAAUAGUCCGGCCAUCAUUUUUCGCAGCAGUCAUGUAAAUAAUGUUUUACACCACAAAAAUUCACCUAGUAUUUUGUCUGCAU